rnacentral:lncRNA from 1 species
AUGCAACCAGGGCACAGUGCACACCAGGACCCAAACACCACACAGGACCAGUUCCAUGCGUACAGUGAAGACUUUUAUUGGGGAGAAGCACAGCAAAGUCUCAAGCAAAUGCGAGCCCUGAGGCAGGUCAGCUUGUCACUGAGGCAGGCUACCUGGGGGCCACCUUUCGGCUGCGGGGGCCAGGGCCGCGGGCUGGGGCCGGCAGGCAGCAGGCACGCAGGAGGAAUCCGAGGAUGCUCCUGCCAAUCCUCCUGCCCAGCCCCUGCCGGCCCUUGCUCGGGACAGAGGCCGAUGCUGAGGGCCCAGCCUCCUCAGGCUCAGCUGCUGGGACCUCUGGCACCACCAGGUGCGGACUGCUCCCGGGGCUGGGGGUGGAGGGGGCGGCCACGGGGACGGGCUCGGGGGCUGGGCUGGCACCAGGGCUCCUCUCCUGCAGCUGUCCAGGGAGGGGAGAGGCAACCACGGGGCCAGCAGCAGCAGGAUCCAGCUCAGGCUGGGGGAGCGACUCCGACUCCGACUCCGACUCCGACUCCGACUCCAGCUGCGACGCAGACUCAGGCUCCGACUCGGACUCCAGCUCUGCCUCGCACUCCGACUCAGGCUCCCUUUGUCCCUGUGAGAGAGAGGAAGGCAGGUGAGAAGGACAGGUGCACCCUGGACCUCCCUCAUGCCCCGAAACCCAGGGAGACCAUGGACAGACCCGCGCUCUGCCACCGGGGCUCUACCUGCUCCAGGCUCCCGGAGUGCGGCUGCAGGGACAUCCGGCUGGAUCCCCCAGGGCCAGAUGGCUCUGAGGCUGCAGCGUCCGGAAGCAGACCCAGGCCCGCCAGGUACUCCUGGGCCUCUGGGUCCUCGGGAACCGCCAGGGGCUGCACCACGCUCAGCUCCUCGCCCUCCGCUCCUUCUAGAAGAGGGUCAAACCACCAUUGCUGGAGGGCGAUUUCUGCUGUGGGUCUGUCGCACGGGUCCCUGCUGAGGAGGGAGCUCAGGAGCUUCUCCAGGCCCCGGCUGGCCCCACACGGGAGCUGGUAG